UACGAAGGGUGCUAGCGUUGUUCGGAAUCACUGGGCGUAAAGCGCGCGUAGGCUGUUUUUCAAGUCAGGGGUGAAAUCCUGAGGCUCAACCUCAGAAUUGCCUCUGAAACUGUAAAACUCGAGUGUCGGAGGGGAUAGCGGAAUUGCUAAUGUAGAGGUGAAAUUCGUAGAUAUUAGCAGGAACACCGGUGGCGAAGGCGGCUAUCUGGACGACAACUGACGCUGAGGCGCGAAAGCGUGGGGAUCAAACAGG
rnacentral:rRNA from 1 species